rnacentral:rRNA from 1 species
UAUCAUGCCCCUUAUGACCUGGGCUACACACGUGCUACAAUGGGCAGUACAACGAGAAGCGAGCCUGCGAAGCAAUGCGAAUCUCUGAAAGCUGUUCUCAGUUCGGACUGCAGUCUGCAACUCGACUGCACGAAGCUGGAAUCGCUAGUAAUCGCGGAUCAGCACGCCGCGGUGAAUACGUUCCCGGGCCUUGUACACACCGCCCGUCACACCAUGGGAGUCUGCAAUGCCCAAAGCCGGUGGCCUAACCUUCGGGAAGGAGCCCGUCUAAGGCAAGGGCAGAUGACUGGGGUGAAGUCGUAACAAGGUAGCCGU